UACGAAGGGGACUAGCGUUGUUCGGAAUCACUGGGCGUAAAGCGCACGUAGGCGGAUAUGUCAGUCAGGGGUGAAAUCCCGGGGCUUAACCUCGGAACUGCCUUUGAUACAGCAUAUCUUGAGUCCGAUAGAAGUGGGUGGAAUUCCUAGUGUAGAGGUGAAAUUCGUAGAUAUUAGGAAGAACACCGGUGGCGAAGGCGGCCCACUGGAUCGGUACUGGCGCUGAGGUGCGAAAGCGUGGGGAGCAAACAGG
rnacentral:rRNA from 1 species